UGAGCAUGGUGCUACUGUUGACUGUGAUCAACCAGAUUCCAAAGAUACAUUAUGCAAAAAUGCUUGGUACCCUGACUGGCAUCAGAGGCACUGAGGGUAUUGAUGGAGAAUUGCUGGUAACAGGACUUGCAUCCCUGUUGCGACAGUUUCACCAGGAUCAUACGCUCCGUUUCAUUGAGCUUCUGUCCCAGUACAUCACAUCCUUCACAACACAUACUGCAACAAGUACUAACAAGGCUGCAGACUUACCUCAUGAAAUA